GGGCGCUUGGCGCAGCGGUAGCGCGUAUGCUUUGCACGUGGCACGUAAUAUGCAUAAGGUCAAGGGUUCAAACCCCUUAGCGUCCA